rnacentral:lncRNA from 1 species
UGAGGAGUGGAUGGCAGACAUAGCAUUUUGGAAAGACCCAUGAAAGGACACAUGAUGUUUGGCAAGAGUAUGACUAGGACUCAACAGACAGUGAUCUCGAAUCUUCACCUUUGCCGAUCUUCACUUCACUGAGAGAGACUUCUUCACCUGGCAGAGAAGUUUGCCUGGCACCCCUGACGGCCCUGGUUGCUGCUGGUGACUCAUGCUGAUUCUGCAGAGGCCCAGCAGCUUCUGCUAGGUUGUGCCACUGCUGCUGAUUCCUAUUGGGUACCUUGACACUACAGAACUGGACUGCUGGUGUCCAGACAGAAAUUGAAAUCACCCCAAGGAGCUGCUUCUAAGCAGGACCACACCCCUGUCCUAUUUACAAUCUUUCUCCCCUACCUUAAACAGUAAGCUGGGGUGGGGGUGGUUUGAAGCAUUUGAGCACCCUUAUUAAAAAUAGAUUUUUUAAAAUAUCUAA